CUAAAUACUACCCAGUGACCGAUAGCGUAUAGUACUGUGAAGGAAAGGUGAAAAGCACCCCGGGAGGGGAGUGAAAAAGAACCUGAAACCCUGUGCCUACAAGCACCUAGAGCACGUCAAUGUGUGAUAGGGUACUUUUUGUAGAACGGUCCGGCGAGCGAUUGUAUGCAGCAAGGUUAAGGACUUAAGGUCUGGAGCCGAAGCGAAAGCGAGUUUGAAAAGGGCGUUAAGUUGCAUACAAUGGGCCCGAAACCGGGUGACCUACCCAUGGUCAGGUUGAAGUGGAAGUAAAAUUCCAUGGAGGACCGAACCGACCUCCGUUGAAAAGGCGGCGGAUGAACUGUGGGUAGCGGAGAAAUUCCAAUCGAACCCGGAGAUAGCUGGUUCUCCCCGAAAUAGUUUUAGGACUAGCCUCAAGUUAGAUACCUGGAGGUAAAGCACUGAAUAGCCUAGCGGCCGAGAGGUUAGCGAAGCUUAUCAAACUCAGAAUGCCAGAGUAUUGAUGCUUGGGAGUCAGACAGUGUCAGAUAAAUGUCAUUGUCAAAAGGGAAACAGCCCAGAUCUACAGCUAAGGUCCCAAAGUCAGGUUAAGUGGAAAACGAUGUGAAGAUACGCAGACAACCAGGAUGUUGGCUCAGAAGCAGCCACUCAUUCAAAGAGUGCGUAAUAGCUCACUGGUCGAGCGUCUUUGCGCGGAGAAUUUAACGGGGCUAAACCUGACACCGAAGCUUAGGCAAUACAGUAAUGUAUUGGGUAGGGGAGCGUUGUAUACGCGGUGAAACAGUAGCGCAAGCGGCUGUGGAGUGUAUAGAAGUGAGAAUGCCGGAAUGAGUAGCGCGAAUGCAGUGAGAAUCUGCAUGGCCGAAAGCCUCAGGUUUCUGGAGGAAGGUUCGUCCGCUCCAGGUUAGUCGGGAGCUAAGGUGAGGCCUAACGGCGUAGCCGAUGCACAGACGGUAGAGAUUCCGUCACCACCAAAAGAGUUAAACACAGGGACACAUUUGAAGUCUCGGAGCCGGGUGUUGGUUCCGGUAGCGAUCGAGGGAAAUUAGUACCGAAGUCCGGGAUGGAAGAUGGCGAGAAAAGCUGUGUGUAUUUCUGCGGUGCCCGUACCGCAAACCGACACAGGUAGGUAGGAAGAAGAUUCUAAGGCCAACGGGAGAAGGGUUGUUAAGGAACUCGGCAAAUUGACCCCGUAACUUCGGGAGAAGGGGUGCUCCAGAGAUGGAGCCGCAGAGAAUCGGCCCAAGCAACUGUUUACCAAAAACACAGGUUUGUGCUAAAUCGAAAGAUGACGUAUACGAGCUGACGCCUGCCCGGUGCUGGAAGGUUAAGAGGAGAUGUGCAAGCAUUGAAUCGAAGCCCCAGUGAACGGCGGCCGUAACUAUAACGGUCCUAAGGUAGCGAAAUUCCUUGUCAGGUAAG
rnacentral:rRNA from 1 species